rnacentral:tRNA from 1 species
GCUCUUCUAGUAUUGACAAUACAAAUGACUUCCAAUCAUUAGACCCUGGAACCAACCUCAGGGAAGAGCA